GGCGUCUUUUUGUAGGCACUAGCCACGCCAUGGUUCGUCGGACAAAACGAACUUGGCACUGUAGGGCUUUUGGAUAAACACCGAAAUAAGGAAUCCCUGUGGGUAUAUUAAUAUUAUUAUAAUACUAUAGACCUCCUUCUAUUGGAUGAUGGCCUCCUCCUGCAUAACACCUGUGCUACAUGCUGCUUCCUUUGACACCGGAGCUUCCUGUAUGCUCGUGAGGAAGCCUCCUUCUGUCACCUCUGUCACCUGACAGACCACCUCCUGCAGACCACCUGAACUAAACUCCUACAUCUGCAGCUUCCUCAGCUGGUAGCUUGGUCUACACUCUCCUUCAUUCUCUUGUUCUCUCUGUCUUUCUCUCCUAAAACUCCUACAUCUGCUGCUUUGAGAGUUUCAAGUUCCUUGGUGUCCACAUCACCAACAAACUAUCAUGGUCCAAACAUACCAAGACAGUCGUGAAGAGGGCACGACAAAACCUUUUCCCCCUCAGGAGAAUGAAAAGAUUUGGCAUGGGUCCCCAGAUCCUCAAAAGGUUCUCCAGCUGCACCAUCCUGACUCGUUCCAUCACUGCAACUGCUUGGCCUCCGACCGCAAGGCACUACAGAGGGUAGUGUGAACGGCCCAGUACAUCACUGGGGCCAAGCUUCCAGCCAUCCAGGACCUAUAUUAUAGGCGGUGUCAGAUGAAAGCCCAUAAAAUUGUCAAGAGACUCCAGUCACCCAAGUCAUAGACGUGAUGUAUAACAGUUCAUUUAAACGGCAGCCAUGUUGUUUUUCUCUCUCUGUAUGUGUAAGAGGAACGUGAUGUAAUAAGCCAUAAUAAAAGUAGCCUUUCUUGCUACUCCUCCAACAUU